UAUUGUUUUUGUUUUCUGUUAUCAUUUUCAUCUGCACAAAACAAGGAUAUUGGUGUUAGUUUGAUCGAGUUGCUUAUGUAUAGUUUGUUUCAUUUUUUAUCAUACUUUUAUGUAUAUAUUAUUAUGGACUCACUUAAGAGGAAAGUUUAUGCUAACCCCCCUUCAACUAACAAUGAGGGUCAAAGUUCCAAAGCUAUUUGGAGGGAUCUUAAAGCCACUGAAUACUUUAUCAAUGCAUGUUUGGAUCAAGUUACCAAGGGUCAACGUGUUGGUACUUGUUUUACCAAGAAAGAAUGGCAAGGUAUUGUUUCAUAAUUUAAUGAACAAAGUGGACUGAAUUAUGACAAGGUAAAAUUGAAGAAUAAGUAUGAUAGCUUGAGAAAGGAAUGGAAAGUAUGGUAUAACUUGUUUGAAAAAUUUACCGGAUUAGGAUGAAAUUUUGAGAAGAAUACUGUUGAUGCAUCCAAUGACUGGUGGGAGAAGAACGAAUUGGUAUGUGAAUCACAAAUAUCUUGUUUAGUAAUAGUUUUAUGUUUAUAUUUACAGUAGAUUUAUAUGUUAGGUUAUGAAUAUGCAGGAAAAUCCACAAUAUGCAAAGUUUAGAGACAAGGGACUUGAUUUUCCUCACCAACUAACCAAACUUUUUUUUUUUUAACAAGACCAACUAACCACACUUGUCAAGGAUGUAGUGGCUAAUGGAGAGCAUGCUUGGGCACCAUCAAGUGGUGCAUUGCCUAAUGAGAACUUGGGUAAUG
rnacentral:lncRNA from 1 species